rnacentral:rRNA from 1 species
AUUGAACGCUGGCGGCAGGCCUAACACAUGCAAGUCGAGCGGAUGCAUCGAGCUUGCUCCUGGAUUCAGCGGCGGCCGGGUGAGUCAUGCCUAUGAAUCUGCCUGGUCUUGGGGGAUAACGUCCUGAUACGGGCGCUAGUCCCCCAUCCGUCCUGUUGGCGCAUUUGGGUGAUCUUCCGACCUCACGCUAUCAUAUUAGCCUAGGUCGGAUUAGCUAGUUGGUGGGGUAACGGCCUUCCAAGGCGACGAUCCGUAACUGGUCUGAGAGGAUGAUCAGUCACACUGGAACUGAGAAACGGUCGAGACUCCUACGGGAGGCAGCAGUGGGGAAUAUUGGACGAGGGGCGAAAGCCUGAUCCAGCAAUGCCGCGUGUGUGAAGAAGGUCUUAGGAUUGGAAAGCACUGUAAGUUGGGAGGAAGGGAAGUAAGUUAACACCUGGCUGUAUUGACGUUACCAACAGAAUAAGCACCGGCUAACUUCGUG